rnacentral:rRNA from 1 species
UGGGGAAUUUUGGACAAUGGGCGAAAGCCUGAUCCAGCAAUGCCGCGUGUGUGAAGAAGGCCUUCGGGUUGUAAAGCACUUUUGUCCGGAAAGAAAUCCUCUGGGUUAAUACCUCGGGGGGAUGACGGUACCGGAAGAAUAAGCACCGGCUAACUACGUGCCAGCAGCCGCGGUAAUACGUAGGGUGCAAGCGUUAAUCGGAAUUACUGGGCGUAAAGCGUGCGCAGGCGGUUUUGUAAGACGGAUGUGAAAUCCCCGGGCUUAACCUGGGAACUGCAUUCGUGACUGCAAGGCUAGAGUAUGGCAGAGGGGGGUAGAAUUCCACGUGUAGCAGUGAAAUGCGUNGAGAUGUGGAGGAAUACCGAUGGCGAAGGCAGCCCCCUGGGCCAAUACUGACGCUCAUGCACGAAAGCGUGGGGAGCAAACAGGAUUAGAUACCCUGGUAGUCCACGCCCUAAACGAUGUCAACUAGUUGUUGGGGAUUCAUUUCCUUAGUAACGUAGCUAACGCGUGAAGUUGACCGCCUGGGGAGUACGGUCGCAAGAUUAAAACUCAAAUGAAUUGAC